rnacentral:rRNA from 1 species
AACGAACGCUGGCGGCAUGCCUAACACAUGCAAGUCGAACGAGACCUUCGGGUCUAGUGGCGCACGGGUGCGUAACGCGUGGGAACCUGCCCUUAGGUUCGGAAUAACUCCCCGAAAGGGGUGCUAAUACCGGAUAAUGUCUUCGGACCAAAGAUUUAUCGCCUUUGGAUGGGCCCGCGUUGGAUUAGCUAGUUGGUAGGGUAAAGCCUACCAAGGAGACGAUCCAUAGCUGGUCGGAGAGGAUGAUCAGCCACACUGGGACUGAGACACGGCCCAGACUGCUACGGGAGGCAGCAGUGGGGAAUAUUGGACAAUGGGCGAAAGCCUGAUCCAGCAAUGCCGCGUGAGUGAUGAAGGCCUUAGGGUUGUAAAGCUCUUUUACCCGGGAUGAUAAUGACAGUACCGGGAGAAUAAGCUCCGGCUAACUCCGUG